AUACGAAGGGGGCUAGCGUUGUUCGGAAUUACUGGGCGUAAAGCGCAUGUAGGCGGACAUUUAAGUCAGGGGUGAAAUCCCGGGGCUCAACCUCGGAACUGCCUUUGACUACUGGGUGUCUAGAGUGUGGAAGAGGUAAGUGGAAUUCCAGGUGUAGGAGUGAAAUCCGUAGAGAUCUGGAGGAACACCAGUGGCGAAGGCGGCUUACUGGUCCAUUACUGACGCUGAGGUGCGAAAGCGUGGGGAGC
rnacentral:rRNA from 1 species